GACGAACGCUGGCGGCGUGCUUAACACAUGCAAGUCGAACGGUGAAGGGGCCUGCUUUUGUGGGCCCUGGAUGAGUGGCGAACGGGUGAGUAACACGUGGGUAACCUGCCCCCUUCUUCUGGAUAACCGCAUGAAAGUGUGGCUAAUACGGGAUAUUCUGGGUCUGUCGCAUGAUGGGUCUGGGAAAGAUUGCGCCUUUGGGUGUUUUUGGUGGGGGAUGGGCUCGCGGCCUAUCAGCUUGUUGGUGGGGUGAUGGCCUACCAAGGCGGUGACGGGUAGCCGGCCUGAGAGGGUGGACGGUCACACUGGGACUGAGACACGGCCCAGACUCCUACGGGAGGCAGCAGUGGGGAAUAUUGCACAAUGGGCGCAAGCCUGAUGCAGCGACGCCGCGUGAGGGAGGGAGGCCUUCGGGUUGUAAACCUCUUUCGCCAGUGAAGCAGGCCUGCUCCUUGUGGGUGGGUUGGCGGUAGCUGGAUAAGAAGCGCCGGCUAACUACGUG
rnacentral:rRNA from 1 species